rnacentral:sRNA from 1 species
GCCGUGAGGUGUUGGGUUAAGUCCCGCAACGAGCGCAACCCCCGUCUCAUGUUGCCAGCGGGUAAUGCCGGGGACUCAUGAGAGACUGCCGGUGACAAACCGGAGGAAGGUGGGGAUGACGUCAAGUCAUCAUGCCCCUUAUGCUCAGGGCUACACACGUGCUACAUUGGCCAGUACAGAGGGUUGCGAUGCCGUGAGGUGGAGCCAAUCCCAAAAAGCUGGUCUCGGUUCGGAUUGGAGGCUGAAACUCGCCUCCAUGAAGGUGGAGUUGCUAGUAAUCGCGGAUCAGCAACGCCGCGGUGAAUACGUUCCCGGGUCUUGUACACACCGCCCGUCACACCACGAAAGUCGGCAACACCCGAAGCCGGUGGCCUAACCCGCAAGGGAAGGAGCCGUCGAAGGUGGGGCUGGCGAUUGGGGUGAAGUCGUAACAAGGUAGCCGUACCGGAAGGUGCGGCUGGAUCACCUCCUUUCUAGGGAGAACACUAGGGGCCGACCACGAGCUUGCUCGCGAUCGGUUACCUAAGGUUUGGGCCUCCGGUUCACACAAGUCGAACCGGCGCCCACCUGGAACGUCGACCGGAUCUGGAAGUGGCGCACGUCUGCCGCGAAAGCGGCCGGCGGCCAGCAUGCUGUUUAGUUUUGAGAGACCGGGGCGGGCACUGCCCGUUCAGGUGCUUCUCGCCGGACCUUGAAAACUGCACAGAUCGGCCAAAAGAUCGAGUUAUUCGAUCACCGUCAAGAUAUUAAGGGCAUGUGGUGGAUGCCUUGGCACCAGGAGCCGAUGAAGGACGUGGACGGCUGCGAUAAGCCACGGUGAGGCGCUGAACAGCCUUUGACCCGUGGAUUU